CACGUAGGGCGCAAGCGUUGUCCGGAAUUAUUGGGCGUAAAGAGCUCGUAGGCGGUCUGUUGCGUCCGCUGUGAAAACUCGGGGCUUAGCCCCGAGCCUGCAGUGGAUACGGGCAGACUAGAGGUAGGUAGGGGAGAAUGGAAUUCCCGGUGUAGCGGUGAAAUGCGCAGAUAUCGGGAGGAACACCGGUGGCUAAGUCGGUUCUCUGGGCCUUACCUGACGCUGAGGAGCGAAAGCGUGGGGAGCGAACAGG
rnacentral:rRNA from 1 species